rnacentral:lncRNA from 1 species
AUGAAUUUAUCAUCACGGCUCAUGAUUCAUCCUAAACAGUUGGAGCUCUGUGCUCUGUUAGCUGCUAUCUGGGCAGCUGUUGGGCUUGGUGGCCUUGCUGUACAGAUACAGUUCCAUCGUCCUUAGAGCAAAAAGACUGACUGAAGAAUGCAGCCUAUGAAGGGGAUUUGAAGUGCGAGCCUCCAACAUGGCUGUGGUUCUGCCAGCAAGAGCAGGGUAUGUGGCUUGAAACAUUGUCCACCUGAUGUUUGCUUUUGCUUUUAAGACAGAUGCCAACACGGAAGCUAACAGUUUCUGACCUCAUAUGUAAACAACAGGCCAUUUCAGGGUAGCUUGCAGCUAUGCGUUAUAGUUGGGGAUGUUAGAGGGUCAUGCAGCACGGUCCUGGCAGCUGCCAGGAAGGAGAUGCCAGCUGGGGAGCUGAGGAUGGGGUCCAGGGCAGUGUGGACACUUGCCAUUCUCUGCAUAUAACGAGUAAGGUGGGUCUGGCAUCUUCUCGACACUGAACUAAAGCUACGUACACGGUCUUGGAAAUGCAGGAGGUGGUGGCACAUGGGCGUUUUCAUCUUAUGCAUGUGGUGCCUGUGGUGAGCAGAAGAGUGUGCCAGAUCCACAGGCGUGAGCUGCCAUGUGGGUCCCCGAAACAGAAUCCUCUGCAAGAACAAGUGCUCUUGACCACUGAGAUUCCCCCAGCCCUUCCUACCCGGGUCUUCGUGCCUGCCUGCAUUGUCUCAGUCCCAUCUGAUCUCAGCAGUGACCGCCGUCUCCGUCUUUAAGGGAGUGUUUGAAGACACUGUGCUGUGGGAAGAAGUUUCCAUGUGGAGCUUUUUCGGAGAAGGACCAGAGCUUGUGACGAGCCUCCAUGUAGUCAUCACCUGAUGGCACAUCUUCUCUUCGGUAUCCUCCAUAUUGUUCCCUUCUGCCCUAAUAUUCUGAAGCCACCAAGGAGCUUUCUGUUGACAACAUUGACCAGAUUCACUCCAGGAGCUGAAUUCUAGGCUGGGGCCCAGAAUAGAUGUGCUUAAACAGAGCUCUCUCAGAGUCUUGGCGGAGCAGCCAAGGCUGAGCGCUGGGACAUUGAGAGACCCCAGGGGAGGUGGAAGAGAUGAGUUUACCUGGAUCCGUUAAAGGACACUGGUAUCUUUCCUCCAAGUUCCUUCCAGAGAAUCAGCUGCUCCAGACAGGGACGAAUCCCCCUAAUGUCCCCUUCCCUACCUCCUCUUAUAGGGUCUUGGCAGGAAGAGAGCAAUGCCUUCCUGUCUCCUUGAUGACGUAUCAGCCGUGUCAGCCCCCCACCAGUGAGAGAAAAGGCCUGUGGGAUAUACCCAUCUGCAAGGGUUAACUGAGACACCAUGAGGAUAAAUGUUCCCUAGGCCUCAGCCAGCUGGAUCCCGUGAUCCAGAGCCUGGUGCUGGCACAGCCAGCAAACAAAGAUGCUUUGUUCAUGUACGAGAAUAAACACUUCCCCUGGAUAUUUACUCCCGGGCUCAAGUGUAAUAUGGGGUGUAAGUUACUCUUUAACAGGCAAUUGGAUACUGGCUGUUGAGUUCUGAACUAAUUUCCUGGAGGGAAGGGAUGGCUACAUCUGCCCAGGGGAUGACCAGCCUCAGGAGCGCCUAUGGCUGGCCAUUACCAGAAUCUGAGAACAGACACAGUGGCCACUGCAGGCUUCUCCAAGAGGCAGGGGAAGCGGAAUGAAAUGGAGGCCCAGCAAAGGGGAUGUUUAUUUUGCCAAGGCAAGGAACCUGCCUGUCCAUUCCCCUGCAUCCACACCAGCUGCUUGGGAGAAGGCAGUCAUCGUGUGCUUUGGGUGGGAAUAGGCUGUCCAGUGCCACGGUGCCCAGCCCCAAGCUCCAUUCCCACCAUUAACUGUUGCUACCCAAGUCUAAGCCUAGUCUUCUAGAUCAGAGGCAAUGGCUGACAUACCAUGACCUGUCAGUCUUUAGAACUUAAGUAAAACUGCACGGAGUGAGGCGUGGUGAUUGCUGGCAGGGUCCUUGUCUGGCAUGUGGCAGGCGCUGGGUUCCAUCCCUGACAUCUCAAAAGUAAAUGAAUAGCUACUGCACAUAGUUUUACAUGUCAAUCAUUAGAAACCUAGAUGAAGACUUUGGACAGAGAUUGUGUAGGAUCCACGGGGAGGAAAGGAAGCCAUCUCUCUUCCUACUGCCUGCUCUGAUUGGACCAUGGGAGACCUCUGCCCCAGGGAAGUUUGUCCUUGGCUUGCUAGAGACCUAUCGCUAAGUACAGAAAGAUGACAAGGCUAUUGACUUGCCCCUGCGUGGAUAUUUGGACCAGAAAAAGAGGAGGGAAUCACUUUGCAGGAGGAUGAUAUAAGUAAAUGACAUGUGGGCAUCAUGGAGGUCACUGCACAAUGCCAUCCUCUGUGGCGGGCACAGGAGGGCACCAGGAGACAGACUCAGGAAGAGGUGUGGAAGGAAGCAAGUCAGAAGCCCUCAGAGCAACAGAGAGCUGUCCUUUCCUUGACUGUGUGGUGGUUGGAAUGAGAACAGUUCCUGUUCGCUCAUAGAUUUGAAUAUUUGGUUCUUGGAAAGGUUCGAAGAUGUGGCCUUGUUGGAGGAGGUAUGUCACAGGUGGUUGGCUUUGAGGUUUCAAAAGCCUAUGCUAGGUCCAGUCUCCAUCUCUCUUCCUGCAUCUUGCAGAUAAGAUCUACAAAAGCUCCUAGCAAUUGCUCUAGCACGAUGCCUGCCUGCCACAACGCUCCUCUCCAUGAUGGUAAGGACUCACCCUCUCAGACUAUAAGCAAGCCCCCAAUUAAGUACUUUCUUCUAAAGUUUAUCUUGCUCAUGGUGUCUCAUUAUGGCCAUAGAAAAGUAACAGAGACAACUUGUUUGGAUUCAGGGGCCAGCCACAGAACUAGGACCCAGGAUCCUGUGACCUGUCAG